rnacentral:rRNA from 1 species
GACGAACGCUGGCGGCGUGCUUAACACAUGCAAGUCGAACGAAGUGGCGCACGGGUGAGUAAUACGUGGGUAACCUGCCCUCCUUUUUGGGAUAAGCCUUGGAAACGGGGUCUAAUACCGAAUAAAGGGGGAUGGGCUCGCGGCCUAUGAGGUUGUUGGGGGGGUGACGGCCUACCAAGGCAGUGACGGGUAGCCGGCCUGAGAGGGUGAUCGGACAGAUUGGGGCUGAGAGACGGUCCAGACUGCGACGGGGGGCAGCAGUGGGGGAUAGUGCACAAUGGGCGAAAGCAACGUGCAGCGACGGCGCGUGGGGGAUGGAGUCUUUAGGGUUGUAAACCUCGUUCGAAAGCGAACGGGUAGGUGGAGAAGAAGCGCCGGCUAACUACGUGCCAGCCGCCGCGGUAAUAC